UACAGAGGGGGCAAGCGUUGUUCGGAAUUACUGGGCGUAAAGGGCGCGUAGGCGGCCUUCUAAGUCGAACGUGAAAUCCCCGGGCUCAACCCGGGAACUGCGUCCGAUACUGGAAGGCUUGAAUUCGGGAGAGGGAUGCGGAAUUCCAGGUGUAGCGGUGAAAUGCGUAGAUAUCUGGAGGAACACCGGUGGCGAAGGCGGCAUCCUGGACCGGCAUUGACGCUGAGGCGCGAAAGCCAGGGGAGCAAAGCGGG
rnacentral:rRNA from 1 species